AUUGAACGCUGGCGGCAGGCCUAACACAUGCAAGUCGAACGAGUGGCGGACGGGUGAGUAAUGUCUGGGAAACUGCCCGAUGGGGGGGGGUAACUACAGGAAACGGUAGCUAAUACCGCAUACCCUCGGAUGUGCCCCCAUGGGAUUAGCUAGUAGGUGGGGGAACGGCUCACCAAGGCGACGAUCCCUAGCUGGUCUGAGAGGAUGACCAGCCACACUGGAACGGAGACACGGUCCAGACUCCUACGGGAGGCAGCAGUGGGGAAUAUUGCACAAUGGGCGCAAGCCUGAUGCAGCCAUGCCGCGUGUAUGAAGAAGGCCUUCGGGUUGUAAAGUACUUUCAGCGAGGAGGCGUUACCCGCAGAAGAAGCACCGGCUAACUCCGUGCCAGCAGCCGCGGUAAUAC
rnacentral:rRNA from 1 species